UGGCUAUAGAAUAUCCAGAAAGUGUGU
rnacentral:piRNA from 1 species